UAAUAAUUAAAAGCUAAACUAAAAUAAUUACUAUAAGUUUAUAAAAAUAUAAUCGAAAAAUAGAACCAUAAUAUCUAAAAUUAUAAAUAAAUAAAAAAUAAAUAUAUAGAAAUGAAGCGAGAAUUUAAUUUAUUUUAUUUAUAAGGAAAAAGGUAACCGGUAAGGAAAAAGGUAGCCGUUAGGCAGUGGUAACCCAUGAAUAACCAAACAAAUAACACAUAGAAGCUAACGAGGUUCAACCAGUUUUCUGUAGCCAAUGGCUAACCACGCAAAUAUCCUUCUUUUUGUUUUCUGUAACUUAUAGUUAACCAUAGCAAUACACAAACAAACCAUAAUCAGUAAAAGAUGAAUAACUAACCAAUCCAAAAGAGUUAGGAAAGUAAAAUGUAGGUAGCAUUUGUGUAGUGAAAAAGGAGAAAUAGUUACUUUUUUCCCGAGGCUAGAACAAAAGUAACCUAUCGGAAAAUAAAUGCAUUAAUUACUGAUAAUCUAAUUACUGGAAAAAUUCCUCUGUAUGACAAAGACUUAAGGCGAGGGAUAAAACUAUUUAAUAUCGAUAUUUUUUGGAGGGAUGUUUUGAAAAAACUUAAUGCUCCUCCAUGUCGCGACGGAGACGGUUGGCAUAAACAAUAUAAAAUUUGAAUGGAAGGACUCCAAGUUCGAAACAAAGAAAAAAAUGGUACACAACAAAUCCGAAGCUAGAGCCACAGGAGGAGGAGUUAUUAUUAUUAUUAUGUACAUAAAUUCACAAAAUUGUUCAAAUAUUUUUUUUUAAUACCAAUGCAACUUUUGGGAAUAUCAUACUUGCUUAAUUUUAAUUUUAAUUUCCGAUAGCUUUUUUUUUAGGCGUUACGAUAGGAACAAAGCGACGACAACAACUUGGAAACGACAAUUAAAACGACAACGGAAAAAGGGCUGAUGAUUCAAUAUUAUAUCCACUAACACAUCACUAAAUAGUUCUUACUCAUUUAUUUAAUCAUAAAUAGUGCACAAAAAGUUUUAAAUCAUAAUAAAAAAUUGUCUUAAGUUCCACUUAUUUACACGGUUGCAUGCAAACAAAUAAUAAGUGUUACCAUACUCAUAUUUUGCAAAUGAACUAAAAUAAAUAAAAUGGAAAAAAUUAAACUGCAAAUACAGGAAGCAAAUUGUUGAAAAAAAGUAAUUGUAAUAAAGAGAGUUAUACCCUCCAUGACAUUAUUAGUCGAUGGGAGGUCCAACACAGGGAUGUUUAUAGUUCUUUCGCGUCAAACUACUUUUUGCAUUAGCGCCCUUCUGUAGCCUUUAAAAAAAAUUACUUUGGCCCAUUUAACACCCGGGUGUUCAGAGUUCUUUCGCGUCCUAUUACAUUCUGCAUUGGCGACCUUCGUCCGCGCUUCGCAAAUAUUACCCUGGUUGAUACAACGGGAUUUAUCAAGAGAAGGAAAAGACGGGAAGAUUUUACAAAGACCAUCACACGAUUACGGAUUCUGUAUUUGCCGCAAAAUCUUUCUCUUUUUUUAUUUCUGUUCCUCUAUCCGCCCAUACCCAUUUUUUCCCGGAACUCGGGAUAUGCUAUACUAAAGCCUACCCCAUUUUCGUUCUCGUUUGUAUUCCAGCAUACAAAUAAAUGAGAGUGUUAA